GGUAAAUCAUUUCGUCUGAUGAGUCAACAAUCAACGUUAAGCUAGCUUCGAAAAUUACCAAUGAUUCACAGGUAAACUCGAGUGAUUUCGUCUGUAAUAACUUGUCGGUGAUGUGUUCUAUUCCGUGUAUUCGUGUUGGAUAACAUGUUUUUCAUCAACUCACAGAGUAAACGUGAAAGUCGUGCAACCUACCGUCAACUAUUUUGUUUAAACUCAUUGUAUUCUACUGAAUGUGUCAUCAAAAUGAUACAGGAUUAAUCUUAAUUAUCGGCUGUUUCUAUUGAAUUUGCUAGAUCACUGACUCCAGCAUGGAACAAUCUCUCAUUCCAUCUUAUAGAGAAUCUUGGAUAACUGAUUUGUGGUUUCAUGUGUUUCUAAAUUGGCAUGACUGACUAUAUGAGAAGCUAUGUCCUUCCAAGAAAAGGACUUACAGUAGACAAGAUUCCUUGUUUGCUAACCCGUUGGCUGCUACCCAUGAAUCUCCCUAUUUUUCAACAACAAAAAAAGAUGUUAAAUAUUGUGAUCAUGCUAUCAUCAUUAUGUUGCCUAUAAGACCAAAGUGGGG